GGACCCGAUUUGGACCAACUUGAAAACUGGGCCAAUAAUCAAAAAUCUAAGUACAUUUUUAGAUUCAACAUAUUAAAGAACCCCAAGGAUUCAAUUUUUGUUAAAAUCAAACUAAGUUUAAUUUUGGACCCUUUGGACCUUAAUGUAGACCAAUUUGAAAACGGGACCAAAAAUUAAGAAUCUACAUACACAGUUAGAUUUAGCAUAUCAAAGAACCCCAAUUAUUCAAUUUUUGAUGAAAUCAAACAAAGUUCAAUUUUGGACCCUUUGGGCCACUUAUUCCUAAACUGUUGGGACCAAAACUCCCAAAAUCAAACCCAACCUUCCUUUAUGGUCAUAAACCUUGUGUUUAAAUUUCAUAGAUUUCUAUUUACUUAUACUUAAGUUAUGGUGCGAAAACCAAGAAUAAUGCUUAUUUGGGCCCCUUUUUUGGCCCCUAAUUCCUAAACUGUUGGGACCUCAACUCCCAAAAUCAAUCCCAACCUUCCUUUUGUGGUCAUAAACCUUGUGUUUAAAGUUCACUGAUUUCUAUUUACUUAUAAAGUUAUUGUGCGAAAACCAAGAAUAAUGCUUAUUUGGGCCCUUUUUUGGCCCCUAAUUCCUAAACUGUUGGAACCAAAACUCCCAAAAUCAAUCCCAACCUUCCUUUUGUGGUCAUAAACCUUGUGUCAAAAUUUCAUAGAUUUCUAUUCACUUAAACUAAAGUUAUAGUGCGAAAACCAAGAAAAUGCUUUUUUGGGCCCUUUUUGGCCCCUAAUUCCUAAAAUGUUGGGACCAAAACUCCCAAAAUCAAUCCCAACCUUCCUUUUGUGGUCAUAAACCUUGUGUCAAAAUUUCAUCGAUUUCUAUUCACUUUUACUAAAGUUAGAGUGCGAAAACUAAAAGUUUU
rnacentral:lncRNA from 1 species